UUUGUGGCGUUCCGAUUAAUAAACACCAAUUGGGUGUAACAAGUUCCAUCCGGGAUAUUUUGCAAAUUGCUCAAACUUCCAGCGCAGUCCGCCAUUUCUCAAACCCCCCUACAGGAUAGCAGACUUCUCUUCAAGCUGUGGACAAUUCUGUGUGAUGUAACAUUACCUAGAAGUGGAUGCGAUGAUUGUCAGGAUAUGUGAGCCAUGCUUGGAUAAUGUUCAUCAUGGGUCUGGGCAAAGUUCUCCAUAAAUGAAGACAAAACCUUGACAGUGACUGAGGAACGGAAGUGGAUGCUGAUGUGUUUCCAGAUCUGGUUACCAAGGACAUGUGCUUAGUCAUCCAUGAUUCUGAUAAAGGUAUUUUGCUUGGUUUGGGGUUUUAUACAGUUGCCUUGCAAAGGCACAGAAGAAAUUGUGGAGCUUUUGUUUAUUUUUGCAAAUGUACAUGAAUGUGUUGCAUUUUCCCUCUUUG